rnacentral:tRNA from 1 species
AGGUCUUUGGGUAAGAGAGCAUACGGCUGAAGACCGUAGUAUCGGGAGUUCAAAUCUCCCCGGGCCCA